rnacentral:rRNA from 1 species
UGAACGCUGGCGGCGUGCCUACUACAUGCAAGUCGCGCGCACAGACGCGGAGCUUGCUCCUCUGACGUUAGCGGCGGACGGAUGAGUAACACGUGGAUAACCUACCUAUAAGACUGGGAUAACUUCGGGAAACCGGAGCUAAUACCGGAUAAUAUAUUGAACCGCAUGGUUCAAUAGUGAAAGACGGUUUUGCUGUCACUUAUAGAUGGAUCCGCGCCGCAUUAGCUAGUUGGUAAGGUAACGGCUUACCAAGGCGACGAUGCGUAGCCGACCUGAGAGGGUGAUCGGCCACACUGGAACUGAGACACGGUCCAGACUCCUACGGGAGGCAGCAGUAGGGAAUCUUCCGCAAUGGGCGAAAGCCUGACGGAGCAACGCCGCGUGAGUGAUGAAGGUCUUCGGAUCGUAAAACUCUGUUAUUAGGGAAGAACAAAUGUGUAAGUAACUAUGCACGUCUUGACGGUACCUAAUCAGAAAGCCACGGCUAACUACGUG